GCCCAUUCUGUUUCCUUAUUGUUUGGCAUGGGAAUUACAGAAAGGGGACCUAGGAGCAGUGGGAACACACGUAAGAAUCUGGGUUCCAGCGCUGGCCGGUAUACUCAGUGGUUCGAUUCCCAUACCUGCGUGGCAGGUUGGUCCCGCCAGUCUCGGGGCACGCGGGAGGCAGCCAGUAGAUGUGUCUCUCACAUGGAUGUCCCUUUCUCUCUCCCCUCCUCCUUCCGCGCCCUUCCACUCUCUAAAAAUCAAUGGAAAAAAUAGGGUGUGUUUCACAGACAUGAGCAGAACAAGGAUGAUGGACCAGCUCCAGGCCCAGAAAAGCAGCAAAACCAGACAAGUGACAAGUGGCUGCUUCAGGACCAGCUGCAGUGACUGAUGACCCCCUGCCCUGGCGCUGACCAGUCAGUGGAGAUCAUGGCCCUGAAAAAGCUCCCCUGGAAAGCUGAUGGACAUUCUAUUGAGACCCUCUCCUGAGAGCUCCCCUAAGAUUCCCACCUGCAAGAUAGAAGUACAGGAGGAUGAAGGACCCAUCCCAUUGAGAACUCUCCUCCCCGGAGCAUGCCAGGGCCUUUCCCUUGCCCCUACUUCCCGCUAAGGCAGUGGUUCUCAACCUUCCUAAUGCUGAGGCCCUUUAAUACAGUUCCUCAUGUUGUGGUGACCCCCAACCAUAAAAUUAUUUUCGUUGCUACUUCAUAACUAAUUUUGCUACUGUUAUGAAUCGUAAUGUAAAUAUCUGAUAUGCAGGAUGUAUUUUCAUUGUUACAAAUUGAACAUAAUUAAAGCCUAGUGAUUAAUCACAAAAACAAUAUGUAAUUAUAUGUUUUCUGAUGGUCUUAGGCGACCCCUGUGAAAGGGUGGUUCGACCCCCAAAGGGGUCACGACCCACAGGUUGAGAGCUGCUGCUCUAAGGGACCGUGAGACUUGCAACCAGGGGAGCAAUGGCGAGCACAGCUUGUCCCAGGCUCACUCCCUGAACCUGUCUCCAAGGCCCCCUUUUCUCUGACUUUUCAGUGACCCAGAACAGCCCCACCUAGGCUCUCCUGUUACUUUUUCUAUGCAUCUUACUUGUUUCACUGCCCUUCGUAUAUUUUUGCUGACAUCAUCAACCAGUGCUGUGUAGCCCUUCCCUUUGGAUAGCCCCAUCCCCUUUUCUUUAAAUAAAUUCAAUUUUUCUUGAA